rnacentral:ncRNA from 22 species
GGCCGAAGGCGAAGCGAUGAACCACCGGGCGUGUCUGGUCGCCGGUCCGAUGGGGAGCUAGCGGCGAACCCACCGCCUGGGC